GUGAACGCUGGCGGUAGGCCUAACACAUGCAAGUCGAACGGCAGCACAGAGGAGCUUGCUCCUUGGGUGGCGAGUGGCGGACGGGUGAGGAAUACAUCGGAAUCUACUCUUUCGUGGGGGAUAACGUAGGGAAACUUACGCUAAUACCGCAUACGACCUUCGGGUGAAAGCAGGGGAUCGCAAGACCUUGCGCGAUUGAAUGAGCCGAUGUCGGAUUAGCUAGUUGGCGGGGUAAAGGCCCACCAAGGCGACGAUCCGUAGCUGGUCUGAGAGGAUGAUCAGCCACACUGGAACUGAGACACGGUCCAGACUCCUACGGGAGGCAGCAGUGGGGAAUAUUGGACAAUGGGCGCAAGCCUGAUCCAGCCAUACCGCGUGGGUGAAGAAGGCCUUCGGGUUGUAAAGCCCUUUUGUUGGGAAAGAAAAGCACACGGUUAAUACCCGAGUGUUCUGACGGUACCCAAAGAAUAAGCACCGGCUAACUUCGUGCCAGCAGCCGCCGUAA
rnacentral:rRNA from 1 species